GAUGAACGCUGGCGGCGUGCCUAAUACAUGCAAGUCGAGCGAACGGACGAGAAGCUUGCUUCUCUGAUGUUAGCGGCGGACGGGUGAGUAACACGUGGAUAACCUACCUAUAAGACUGGGAUAACUUCGGGAAACCGGAGCUAAUACCGGAUGAUAUUUUGAACCGCAUGGUUCAAAAGUGAAAGACGGUCUUGCUGUCACUUAUAGAUGGAUCCGCACUGCAUUAGCUAGUUGGUAAGGUAACGGCUUACCAAGGCAACGAUGCAUAGCCGACCUGAGAGGGUGGUCGGCCACACUGGAACUGAGACACGGUCCAGACUCCUACGGGAGGCAGCAGUAGGGAAUCUUCCGCAAUGGGCGAAAGCCUGACGGAGCAACGCCGCGUGAGUGAUGAAGGUCUUCGGAUCGUAAAACUCUGUUAUUAGGGAAGAACAUAUGUGUAAGUAACUGUGCACAUCUUGACGGUACCUAAUCAGAAAGCCACGGCUAACUACGUG
rnacentral:rRNA from 1 species